GACGAACGCUGGCGGCGUGCUUAACACAUGCAAGUCGAACGGAAAGGCCCUGCUUUUGUGGGGUGCUCGAGUGGCGAACGGGUGAGUAACACGUGAGUAACCUGCCCUUGACUUUGGGAUAACUUCAGGAAACUGGGGCUAAUACCGGAUAGGAGCUCCUGCUGCAUGGUGGGGGUUGGAAAGUUUCGGCGGUUGGGGAUGGACUCGCGGCUUAUCAGCUUGUUGGUGGGGUAGUGGCUUACCAAGGCUUUGACGGGUAGCCGGCCUGAGAGGGUUACCGGCCACAUUGGGACUGAGAUACGGCCCAGACUCCUACGGGAGGCAGCAGUGGGGAAUAUUGCACAAUGGGCGGAAGCCUGAGGCAGCAACGCCGCGUGCGGGAUGACGGCCUUCGGGUUGUAAACCGCUUUCGCCUGUGACGAAGCGUGAGUGACGGUAAUGGGUAAAGAAGCACCGGCUAACUACGUG
rnacentral:rRNA from 1 species